AUUGAACGCUGGCGGCAGGCCUAACACAUGCAAGUCGAGCGGAUGAAGGGAGCUUGCUCCUGGAUUCAGCGGCGGACGGGUGAGUAAUGCCUAGGAAUCUGCCUGGUAGUGGGGGAUAACGUCCGGAAACGGGCGCUAAUACCGCAUACGUCCUGAGGGAGAAAGUGGGGGAUCUUCGGACCUCACGCUAUCAGAUGAGCCUAGGUCGGAUUAGCUAGUUGGUGGGGUAAGGGCCUACCAAGGCGACGAUCCGUAACUGGUCUGAGAGGAUGAUCAGUCACACUGGAACUGAGACACGGUCCAGACUCCUACGGGAGGCAGCAGUGGGGAAUAUUGGCCAAUGGGCGAAAGCCUGAUCCAGCCAUGCCGCGGGUGUGAAGAAGGUCUUCGGAUUGUAAAGCACUUUAAGUUGGGAGGAAGGGCAGUAAGUUAAUACCUUGCUGUUUUGACGUUACCAACAGAAUAAGCACCGGCUAACUUCGU
rnacentral:rRNA from 1 species